rnacentral:rRNA from 1 species
UACGUAGGGGCCAAGCGUUGUCCGGAUUUAUUGGGCGUAAAGAGCUCGUAGGCGGUUGGGUAAGUCGGGUGUGAAAACUCCAGGCUCAACUUGGAGAUGCCACCCGAUACUGCUCUGACUAGAGUCCGGAAGAGGCAAGUGGAAUUCCCGGUGUAGCGGUGAAAUGCGCAGAUAUCGGGAGGAACACCAAUGGCGAAGGCAGCUUGCUGGGACGGUACUGACGCUGAGGCGCGAAAGCUAGGGGAGCAAACGGG